AGGAUAUAAUUUUUAGUUUUUGUUAGGACCUAAAGGAGGGUAAUGAAAUUGAGGUUCUUUUCUUUCUUAAGGUCAGUGAUCAGCUUACUAUUCUAUAUGUUUUUUCGUGUACCAGUUUCAUCUCAGCAGAGAAAUUGAAGCUUCAGAUGUGUUCACUAGAGGUUGUCGUUAGCUGGGAUGAGCGAUAGUUUGUUUCGUAGAAAGAAGAAAAAGAAGCUAGAGUGAGCUAACUAGGAUUGAAAGGCGAUUGCAAACCACGUUCCAGAAUCUGUCUGUGCAGAACAUCUAACUUCACCGAAUUACUGGGAGUUACUCAGAUCGAAUCAGACAAUGAGCCUUAUAUUCAUGGAAAGCUACGGAUGUCUACUUUCUGUAGAAUUUUACAGAUAUCGAUUUCGAUACUUCUGGAGAAAGUUAUGAUUAUUUGAGUGAAUAUAGGUCAGACAGGAAAUCUGCUCGGGAAUUUACAACCAUUCGUGGAGAACUCAAGUUCCGUGGCACAAGAUCAUCAACCCUAAUGUUUUAAGGAAGUUAAUUCAGAUGAGGAUUCAAUGAGAAACUUAUUCCUACUUCUACAAGAGAUAUUUCAAGGUUUUCCCAUUCCAAAUGAAGAAAGGAAUCUAAACCCAAGUUUUACAAGGAAACAUAAAGCCAAAGAAGAGCAGAAAUCUUCCCUAUAUAAGGGAGCACGAAUUUACAUGAGAAGGAGAGUCUCGGAGCACAUUGAAGAUGCCUAAGGAGCGGAGACGACUCAUCCAUCUUCCCCAUCUUUUCCCUUCCAUUCUUUUUAUGUUUUUCCUAUGUUUUAUUUAGUUAUCUUUUGCUAAACCUUUUUCUAGGGCUAGGAUGAUGCCCUAUCAUGAUUGUUUAUGUACUUUGAUGUUUUAUUGAUGGAUUUAUAAUUUCUUUA